AUUGAACGCUGGCGGCAUGCCUUACACAUGCAAGUCGAACGGUAACAGGUCUUCGGAUGCUGACGAGUGGCGAACGGGUGAGUAAUACAUCGGAACGUGCCUAGUAGUGGGGGAUAACUACUCGAAAGAGUGGCUAAUACCGCAUGAGAUCUACGGAUGAAAGCAGGGGAUCGCAAGACCUUGUGCUACUAGAGCGGCCGAUGGCAGAUUAGGUAGUGGGUGGGAUAAAAGCUUACCAAGCCGACGAUCUGUAGCUGGUCUGAGAGGACGAUCCGCCACACUGGGACUGAGACACGGCCCACACUCCUACGGGAGGCAGCAGUGGGGAAUUUUGGACAAUGGGCGAAAGCCUGCUCCAGCAAUGCCGCGUGCAGGAUGAAGGCCUUCGGGUUGUAAACUGCUUUUGUACGGAACGAAAAGCUCUGGGUUAAUACCCUGGGGUCAUGACGGUACCGUAAGAAUAAGCACCGGCUAACUACGUGCCAGCCGCCGCCGUAACAC
rnacentral:rRNA from 1 species